GAGGGACAAGCCAAAUUAUUGAAAUUUGUAUUUGUUUAUUUCUUCGAAAGUAGAGAUAUGUAAAGUAAUUUUCGUCAUAAAUGCCUACUUCUAUAGUUUUGUUUACCAUAACUCCACAUUCAAGGGUAUGUUUAUUUGAAUGGAAGUGAGGUGGAAGUGAAGAGAGGGAAGUCGUUUUCCUCAUAAACGAUCACUUUCGUUGUUUGGUUCGCCAUAAAAAAAUUAAAGUCGAAAUUCAAGUUAAUCUGAAAUAGUGUAAUUUACUUAAGCCGAAGUCAACUACAAUGAAUGGAGGUGAAGUAAAAAAAUAAUAAAAUAAUAUACUAGAUAAAGUUAGUUAUACUUAAAUAUAUUUAAUUAUGGUACUAAUUACUCUUUUAUUCAUUUGGUAUAUUUAAAAUAUGAUAAAAAUUGAUUAGGUAAGUUUUAAUAUUUUAUUUAUUUAGUUUGUAUAAUUAAAAUAUGAUAAAAAUUGAUUAAUUAAGUAUUAAUAUAUUUUUACUUUAUAAUUUUAUUGGUGUAUUACUAUAAUUUACGUAUAAAAAAUAAUUUAUUUGUUUUAAAUUAAAUUUUAAUUAUAUAAAAAUAUAAUUAUAUUAUUUUUAUUUAUUAAAUUAUUUAUUAUUUAUACAUAAAUUAUAAUUUUACAUCAUACACUUCUUACCAAACAAACAGCAGAACUAAAGAAACUUCACUUUCAUAACCACAAAAUAAAUAGUGAGGAAGAAAUAGUUUUCACCGAACUUCAUUUCGAUUCAAAGUUCAGUUUCGGUGAAACAAAUAUGCCCUAAUCGAAACUCAAACUUUUCCAAAUGCCGUAAUU
rnacentral:lncRNA from 1 species